ACAAUCACACAUACCUCUACUACCAGUUCCACAAGUGCCACACCAUCUAGUAGUACCUCUAUUAUCACGCACAGCAGGACACCUACCUCUUCAAAUACAAUAGUAACACCAACUAUUAUACAUCCACCUUCAACACAAUCACCAUCUUCUGCACCUGCGGAGCAUGGAUCUACUACUCUUACAUCAGAAACCCACUCCACUGAAAGUACAUCUACAACUGUCACCAUUAUGCCUUCAUCUGUCUCGCCCUCAACACCAACAACCAAUACUACCACCCACAAGUCAACAACCUCACACAUUACAAGUAAGAAAA